AGUGAACGCUGGCGGUAGACCUAACACAUGCAAGUCGAACGGCAGCACAGUAAGAGCUUGCUCUUACGGGUGGCGAGUGGCGGACGGGUGAGGAAUACAUCGGAAUCUACUUUUUCGUGGGGGAUAACGUAGGGAAACUUACGCUAAUACCGCAUACGACCUACGGGUGAAAGCAGGGGAUCUUCGGACCUUGCGCGAUUGAAUGAGCCGAUGUCGGAUUAGCUAGUUGGCGAGGUAAAGGCCCACCAAGGCGACGAUCCGUAGCUGGUCUGAGAGGAUGAUCAGCCACACUGGAACUGAGACACGGUCCAGACUCCUACGGGAGGCAGCAGUGGGGAAUAUUGGACAAUGGACGCAAGCCUGAUCCAGCCAUACCGCGUGGGUGAAGAAGGCCUUCGGGUUGUAAAGCCCUUUUGUUGGGAAAGAAAAGCAGCAGGUUAAUACCCCGCUGUUCUGACGGUACCCAAAGAAUAAGCACCGGCUAACUUCGUG
rnacentral:rRNA from 1 species